CCUACGGGAGGCAGCAGUGGGGAAUCUUGCGCAAUGGGCGAAAGCCUGACGCAGCCAUGCCGCGUGAAUGAUGAAGGUCUUAGGAUUGUAAAAUUCUUUCAGUAGGGACGAUAAUGACGGUACCUACAGAAGAAGCCCCGGCUAACUUCGUGCCAGCAGCCGCGGUAAUACGAAGGGGGCUAGCGUUGCUCGGAAUUACUGGGCGUAAAGGGAGCGUAGGCGGGUUAUCAAGUUGGAGGUGAAAGCCCAGGGCUCAACCUUGGAAUUGCCUUCAAAACUGAUAGCCUAGAGUAUGAUAGAGGUAUGUGGAACUCCGAGUGUAGAGGUGAAAUUCGUAGAUAUUCGGAAGAACACCAGUGGCGAAGGCGACAUACUGGGUCAUGACUGACGCUGAGGCUCGAAAGCGUGGGGAGCAAACAGGAUUAGAUACCCUGGUAGUCCGCGCUGUAAAACGAUGAUGNUAGUGUCGGACGGCGAUGCGUCGGUGACGCNGCGUACGACAUAAGUACGACUACCGCCGUCGGGAGGUACGGUCGGCGAAGAAGUUAAACGUAACUUAAAUUAGUAAGUUAGUUAGGCGNGAGAGNGCGACGGACGACGACGAGGGAGGAGG
rnacentral:rRNA from 1 species